rnacentral:lncRNA from 1 species
AUGGCGACCAAAAGCUGUGGGGUGGGGAAACUCACGGCUGGUCCAGCUGAGGCUGCAAAGCGGCUUUUCUUCUCUGCUGGUGAAGCUGACGGAAAGGAAGUGGCCGUUGGCCCUCAGCCCCACCCAGCUUUUAGGCCAGCCACACCGCCUCAGUUCUUACAGAAGGUACAGGACAAAGGACAGAAUUCAAGGUCCUCCCUUCGCUCAUCUCAGACAAAUCCUUUCCUGAUUGCUUCCUCUGCCGUAAGUUUAUUUUAUUUUAUAAACAAAUGCAGAUUCACUGAGCUAGAUGAAUGCGUGACUAUUUUUUCCUUCCCACUUUCCCACGUGAAUCAAAGACUUCCCACUUUCCCAUGUGAUCAAAGACUCAGAAGAAUGCAACUGCUUGCCUCUUAACUACCCAUAGCUUUAAAAAUGUUCUUCCUCUCUCUCCAGCAUUCGUCCUUUCCCUUUAAAUACUGAAGCCCUCAAAAUCGUCUUUGGAGAAAGGCACAGACUUGUCCCGCAAGCGUUGUUCUUAACUUUGGCAAAAUAAGUCCAAAUUAAUUGAGACCUAUCUCAGAUAUUUUUGGAUUUACAGACAAUAUAAAACUUUUACAUUAAAAUUGUGUUAAGGGUCAUAGAACUUCCAAGCUUGGUUGUGAAAUGAAUUGUAAAUGAAUUUUGUGCAACUUCCACCAGUCUCACUCUAACAAGUGAAAAAUGAUAGCUAUUAUUCAUUAUCAGGAUUAGUCUUGAAUGAGGCAAGUGUUGACUUAGUGGAGUGUGAUAUGAUAUAAGAACUAUACAUGUGCUUUCCGCUCCUGGUUCCUGCCACACAGCUCUGAAAACCCUUGAAAUUUCUGGAGUGAUGAGUGUCUUUUGCAUAUUAAUGAGACGAUUAGUGGCUUGGGACCCUUAGAUAGCUUCAGGUUAGAGCUAGUCACCAGAAGGACCAAGACAUUAAAUUAGAGUUGGAGUUGUCACACCACCCCCAGCCUUCCAAGGAAGAGAGAGGGAGGGAUGUUUGAGUUGAUCACCAAUAACCAAUUAUCUAAUCAAUGUAAUGUUGCCGCCAAAAUAUCCAAAAGUUGGGGUUCUGUGGAGGUGCCUGGGAGGGUGAUUGGCCCUCAUACCUUGCCCUGGCUCUUUUAAAAUUGCAUCUCUUUAUCUGUCCUGUUCAUAGAUAUUCUUUGUAAUGUAUCUUAUAAUGAAUGGGUAAAUAUAAGUAAAAUAUUUCCUCAAGUUCUUUGAGCUUCUCUGGGAAAUUAGUUGAAUCUGAGGAAGUGGUAAUACGAACCAAGGUUUAUAACCAGUCACUGAGAAGCACAGGUGAAAACCCCAGGGUUGCAGUAGACAUUUUAAAUGGAGGUUAGUCCUAUGGGACUGAGCACUUAACCUCUAGAAUCUGAUGCUAACUCUUGGUAGAUUGCGUCAAAACUGAGCUAAGUUAUACUAUACUCAAUUGGUAUCUGCUGGAGAAUUAGUUGCUUGGUGUGUCAUGGGGAA